rnacentral:rRNA from 1 species
UGGGGAAUCUUGGACAAUGGGGGCAACCCUGAUCCAGCCAUGCCGCGUGGGUGAUGAAGGCCUUAGGGUCGUAAAGCCCUUUCGCUGGGGAAGAUAAUGACGGUACCCAGUAAAGAAGCCCCGGCUAACUCCGUGCCAGCAGCCGCGGUAAUACGGAGGGGGCUAGCGUUGUUCGGAAUGACUGGGCGUAAAGCGCGCGUAGGCGGAUCAGCAAGUCAGGGGUGAAAGCCCGGGGCUCAACCCUGGAAUGGCCCUUGAUACUGUUGGUCUUGAGUUCGAGAGAGGUGAGUGGAAUUCCGAGUGUAGAGGUGAAAUUCGUAGAUAUUCGGAGGAACACCAGUGGCGAAGGCGGCUCACUGGCUCGACACUGACGCUGAGGUGCGAAAGCGUGGGGAGCAAACAG